CAAAAACAUCGCCUCUUGAAUAAACAUAAGAGGUCCAGCCUGCCCAGUGACUAAUGUUCAACGGCCGCGGUAUCCUAACCGUGCGAAGGUAGCGUAAUCACUUGUUCUUUAAAUGGGGACUAGUAUGAAUGGCACCACGAGGGUUAUACUGUCUCCUUUCUCUGAUCAGUGAAACUAAUCUCCCCGUGAAGAAGCGGGGAUACAUCUAUAAGACGAGAAGACCCUAUGGAGCUUUAAAUCUCUUUUCAAACGCUAAAUUAAUUACCCAAGUCUAAGACUCACCCUCACAUCUACCUAAGCGCCAUGAAAAUGAUUUUAGGUUGGGGUGACCGCGGAGUACAAAAAAACCUCCACGCUGAAUUAGGCUUCCAAACCUUGAGCCAAGGGCUACGACCCAACGCACUAAAAAAUUAACACCAAUUGACCCAAUAUUCACUUGAUCAACGAACCAAGUUACC
rnacentral:rRNA from 1 species